rnacentral:rRNA from 1 species
CCUACGGGUGGCUGCAGUGGGGAAUAUUGCACAAUGGGCGAAAGCCUGAUGCAGCAACGCCGCGUGAAGGAAGAAGGGUUUCGGCUCGUAAACUUCUAUCAACAGGGACGAAAGAAAUGACGGUAGCUGAAUAAUAAGUCUCGGCUAACUACGGGCCAGCAGCCGCGGUAAUACGUAGGGGGCAAGCGUUAUACGGAAUUACUGGGUGUAAAGGGUGAGUAGGCGGCAUGGUAAGCCAGAUGUGAAAGCCUUGGGCUUAACCCGAGGAUUGCAUUUGGAACUAGCAGGCUAGAGUACAGGAGAGGAGAGCGGAAUUCCUGGUGUAGCGGUGAAAUGCGUAGAUAUUAGGAAGAACUCCAGUGGCGAAGGCGGCUUUCUGGACUGAAACUGACGCUGAGGCACGAAAGCGUGGGGAGCGAACAGGAUUAGAUACCCGAGUAGUC